rfam:Candidatus Filomicrobium marinum strain Y genome assembly, chromosome: 1
GGGGCCGUAGCUCAGUUGGGAGAGCGCUACAAUGGCAUUGUAGAGGUCAGGGGUUCGAUUCCCCUCGGCUCCA